GACGGAGGGUGCUAGCGUUGUUCGGAAUUACUGGGCGUAAAGCGCGCGUAGGCGGCUUUGUAAGUUAGAGGUGAAAGCCCGGGGCUCAACUCCGGAAUUGCCUUUAAGACUGCAUCGCUAGAAUCCGGGAGAGGUGAGUGGAAUUCCGAGUGUAGAGGUGAAAUUCGUAGAUAUUCGGAAGAACACCAGUGGCGAAGGCGGCUCACUGGACCGGCAUUGACGCUGAGGUGGCGAAAAGCGUGGGGAGCAAACAGG
rnacentral:rRNA from 1 species